rnacentral:rRNA from 1 species
AACGAACGCUGGCGGCAUGCCUAACACAUGCAAGUCGAACGAGACCUUCGGGUCUAGUGGCGCACGGGUGCGUAACGCGUGGGAACCUGCCCUUAGGUUCGGAAUAACUCCCCGAAAGGGGUGCUAAUACCGGAUAAUGUCUUCGGACCAAAGAUUUAUCGCCUUUGGAUGGGCCCGCGUUGGAUUAGCUAGUUGGUAGGGUAAAAGCCUACCAAGGCGACGAUCCAUAGCUGGUCUGAGAGGAUGAUCAGCCACACUGGGACUGAGACACGGCCCAGACUCCUACGGGAGGCAGCAGGGGGGAAUAUUGGAAAAGGGGGGAAAGCCUGAUCCAGCAAUGCCGGGGGAGUGAUGAAGGCCUUGGGGUUGUAAAGCUCUUUUCCCCGGGAUGAUAAUGACAGUACCGGGAGAAUAAGCCCCGGCUAACUCCGU